GCCGCGCCAAGCUGCUGUGACCUUUCCCUGCAGAUCCCUAACCAGAGCAGCGACCAAAAUUAGGGUCUGGAACAGCUACCGCCAGAGAAAGCUAGAGAUAGCAGCAUCCAAGCGACGCCUCCCGAUAUGGGACACCCGACAUGGGACGCUGCGGCCACGCACAGAAGGGAUCGCACCAUAGGGCUGCAACAGGGAGCCCUCGGAAGCAGGACCUGGGGGCGUGGGGAGCCCGCCGGAGUCACAGAGGGUAAUGAGCAAAGCCAGGAAGCAGGUCAGGCCCGCCUGGUCCGGGAAGUGCUGUGAUAGAGGCGACAGGCACAGCCAUGUAGUAAUCUCCAAUUUUCUGAUAACCACGUUAAAGCAAAGUAAAAAGGGGCGCCUGGGUGGAUCAGUCGGGUGAGCGUCCAACUCUGGAUCUCAGCUCAGAUCAUGAUCUCAGGGUUCCUGGGAUCGAGCCCCGUGUGGGACUCUGUGCUGACGGUGUGGAGUCGG